AACUUAGCGGCGGACGGGUGAGUAAUACUUAGGAAUCUGCCUAUUAGUGGGGGACAACAUUUCGAAAGGAAUGCUAAUACCGCAUACGUCCUACGGGAGAAAGCAGGGGAUCACUUGUGACCUUGCGCUAAUAGAUGAGCCUAAGUCGGAUUAGCUAGUUGGUGGGGUAAAGGCCUACCAAGGCGACGAUCUGUAGCGGGUCUGAGAGGAUGAUCCGCCACACUGGGACUGAGACACGGCCCAGACUCCUACGGGAGGCAGCAGUGGGGAAUAUUGGACAAUGGGGGGAACCCUGAUCCAGCCAUGCCGCGUGUGUGAAGAAGGCCUUUUGGUUGUAAAGCACUUUAAGCGAGGAGGAGGCUACUCUAGUUAAUACCUAGGGAUAGUGGACGUUACUCGCAGAAUAAGCACCGGCUAACUCUGUGCCAGCAGCCGCGGUAAUACAGAGGGUGCGAGCGUUAAUCGGAUUUACUGGGCGUAAAGCGUGCGUAGGUGGCCAAUUAAGUCAAAUGUGAAAUCCCCGAGCUUAACUUGGGAAUUGCAUUCGAUACUGGUUGGCUAGAGUAUGGGAGAGGAUGGUAGAAUUCCAGGUGUAGCGGUGAAAUGCGUAGAGAUCUGGAGGAAUACCGAUGGCGAAGGCAGCCAUCUGGCCUAAUACUGACACUGAGGUACGAAAGCAUGGGGAGCAAACAGGAUUAGAUACCCUGGUAGUCCAUGCCGUAAACGAUGUCUACUAGCCGUUGGGGUCUUUGAGACUUUAGUGGCGCAGCUAACGCGAUAAGUAGACCGCCUGGGGAGUACGGUCGCAAGACUAAAACUCAAAUGAAUUGACGGGGGCCCGCACAAGCGGUGGAGCAUGUGGUUUAAUUCGAUGCAACGCGAAGAACCUUACCUGGUCUUGACAUAGUAAGAACUUUCCAGAGAUGGAUUGUGCCUUCGGGAGCUUACAUACA
rnacentral:rRNA from 1 species